CCAAACCUUAUCCGCAGCAGAACACCUUUUCCUUAAACACCACCACCACGAACCAGAGUCCACCAUGAAUUUUUUUCGCUUGAAAGCGUAACAGAAACCUAAUGGAAACUCGAUAAAUCUUCACAUCUCUUAAUUUUGCGCAGGGUUUAAUUUUUCAAACAACAUCAGGUUGAUUUCUCAAUUUGGUGCGGUUAUUAGGGUUCAUCAGGUUGAUUUCUCAAUUUGGAGCGGUUAUUAGGGUUUGAUUUUACAAACUUCAUCAGGUUCUUCAUCCCUCUCAGUAUAGCACAUGUAAUUAAAUUGGUUGCAAUAAUGAUUAUUGGUAGAGGUUGCAUUCAUCAGAAGUUCUGCAACUGGUUCUAAGCAUCCUGUCUCUAUGGAACUUGGUGAUAAAAUUCCAAUUGUAGGUUUUUGAAGUUACAGAUCUUGAUAAAGCUGUCGAGAUGACUAUUUUUGGUUGCUUUUGGACAAAUAGCCAAAUCUAUAGUGCAACACCUACCCUUCUACUGCAUGGCCUGCAGUGGUGUACUAAGAUUCGUCAUGGAAAGUGGUAACAAGGGUUGUUAGGUUGUUUGCUUAACUGUAGAGUUCUCUUGAUAUCCUGGUUACUUUGGAGCUUACACCUUAGUGAGAGGCAUGAUAGUCUCAAAGCAUUUUUUAUAUGUUUCUUUUGGUUUGGCAUCAGCUCUACAGUUUUAACAUUUCAAUUCUUGCCUGUCACACGUUGUCGGAACAUCGUCUAUUGGUUUAUCAAUUAGUUUAGCAUGUUGUUGUUUGAACUUACUAGCUAGCUUGGACAUAUAUUGUUCUGAACUCAAAAUUUCCUCUUUUUUUGUGUAAUUUUAAACCCAAUGGAUAAAAUGAAUGAAUGUUAAAAUUUUCAGUUUGAUUAUAAAUUUCAGUCAAAUUUGAAGUUGUA